CUACACACGUACUACAAUGGGGAGGACAAAGGGCAGCGAACUCGCAAGAGCCAGCUAAUCCCGGAAACCUACCCUCAGUUCAGAUUGCUCUCUGCAACUCGAGAGCAUGAAGGCGGAAUCGCUAGUAAUCGCAGGUCAGCAUACUGCGGUGAAUACGUUCCCGGGCCUUGUACACACCGCCCGUCACACCAUGGAAGUUGGCCAUGCCCGAAGUCAUUACUCUAACCCUUCUGGGAGGAGGAUGCCGAAGGCAGGGCUGAUGACUGGGGU
rnacentral:rRNA from 1 species